rnacentral:rRNA from 1 species
GACGAACGCUGGCGGCGUGCUUAACACAUGCAAGUCGAACGGAAAGGCCCUGCUUUUGUGGGGUGCUCGAGUGGCGAACGGGUGAGUAACAGGUGAGUAACCUGCCCUUGACUUUGGGAUAACUUCAGGAAACUGGGGCUAAUAUCGGAUAGGAGCUCCUGCUGCAUGGAGGGGGUUGGAAAGUUUCGGCGGUUGGGGAUGGACUCGCGGCUUAUCAGCUUGUUGGUGGGGUAGUGGCUUACCAAGGCUUUGACGGGUAGCCGGCCUGAGAGGGUGACCGGCCACAUUGGGACUGAGAUACGGCCCAGACUGCUACGGGAGGCAGCAGUGGGGAAUAUUGCACAAUGGGCGGAAGCCUGAUGCAGCAACGCCGCGUGCGGGAUGACGGCCUUCGGGUUGUAAACCGCUUUCGCCUGUGACGAAGCGUGAGUGACGGUAAUGGGUAAAGAAGCACCGGCUAACUACGUG